GAUGAACGCUAGCGGCAGGCCUAAUACAUGCAAGUCGAACGAGAUUAAGAGGCUUGCUUCUUAUGAAAGUGGCGCACGGGUGCGUAACGCGUAUGCAACCUACCUUAAUCAGGGGGAUAGCCCGAAGAAAUUCGGAUUAAGACCGCAUAAAAACACAGGAUAGCAUUAACCAAUGUUCAAAUAUUUAUAGGAUUAAGAUGGGCAUGCGUGUCAUUAGCUAGUUGGCGGGGUAACGGCCCACCAAGGCGACGAUGACUAGGGGAUCUGAGAGGAGGACCCCCCACACUGGUACUGAGCCCCGGACCAGACUCCUACGGGAGGUAGCAGUAAGGAAUAUUGGUCAAUGGAGGGAACUCUGAACCAGCCAUGCCGCGUGCAGGAAGACAGCCCUCUGGGUCGUAACCUGCUUUUAUUCGGGAAUAAACCUUUCUACGUGUAGGAAGCUGAAUGUACCGAAGGAAUAAGGAUCGGCUAACUCCGUG
rnacentral:rRNA from 1 species